rnacentral:misc_RNA from 1 species
GUUGAAGAACGUAGCGAAAUGCGAUAAGUAAUGUGAAUUGCAGAAUUCAGUGAAUCAUCGAAUCUUUGAACGCACAUUGCGCCCGCCAGCAUUCUGGCGGGCAUGCCUGUUCGAGCGUCAUUUCAACCCUCAGGCUCUGCUUGGUGUUGGGGCCCUACGGUUGACGUAGGCCCUUAAAGGUAGUGGCGGACCCUCUCGGAGCCUCCUUUGCGUAGUAACUAACGUCUCGCAUUGGGAUUCGGAGGGACUCUUGCCGUAAAACCCCCAAAUUUUCUAAUGGUUGACCUCGGAUCAGGUAGGAAUACCCGCUGAACUUAAGCAUAUCAAUAAGCGGAGGA